rnacentral:rRNA from 1 species
AUUGAACGCUGGCGGAAUGCUUUACGCAUGCAAGUCGAACGGCAGCACGGACUUCGGUCUGGUGGCGAGUGGCGAACGGGUGAGUAACAUAUCGGAACGUAUCCAAUAAUGGGGGAUAACGAGUCGAAAGAUUCGCUAAUACCGCAUACGCCCUACGGGGGAAAGCUGGGGACCUUCGGGCCUGGCGUUAAUGGAGCGGCCGAUAUGUGAUUAGCUAGUUGGUGAGGUAAAGGCUCACCAAGGCGACGAUCAGUAGCUGGUCUGAGAGGACGACCAGCCACACUGGAACUGAGACACGGUCCAGACUCCUACGGGAGGCAGCAGUGGGGAAUUUUGGACAAUGGGCGCAAGCCUGAUCCAGCCAUUCCGCGUGAGUGAAGAAGGCCUUCGGGUUGUAAAGCUCUUUCGCAAGGGAAGAAAACUUAGCCACUAACAUUGGUUGAGGUUGACGGUACCUUGAUAAGAAGCACCGGCUAACUACGUGCCAGCCGCCGCCGUAA